rnacentral:rRNA from 1 species
GAACUGAAGAGUUUGAUCAUGGCUCAGAUUGAACGCUGGCGGCAGGCCUAACACAUGCAAGUCGAGCGGUAGAGAGAAGCUUGCUUCUCUUGAGAGCGGCGGACGGGUGAGUAAUACCUAGGAAUCUGCCUGAUAGUGGGGGAUAACGUUCGGAAACGGACGCUAAUACCGCAUACGUCCUACGGGAGAAAGCAGGGGACCUUCGGGCCUUGCGCUAUCAGAUGAGCCUAGGUCGGAUUAGCUAGUUGGUGAGGUAAUGGCUCACCAAGGCUACGAUCCGUAACUGGUCUGAGAGGAUGAUCAGUCACACUGGAACUGAGACACGGUCCAGACUCCUACGGGAGGCAGCAGUGGGGAAUAUUGGACAAUGGGCGAAAGCCUGAUCCAGCCAUGCCGCGUGUGUGAAGAAGGUCUUCGGAUUGUAAAGCACUUUAAGUUGGGAGGAAGGGCAUUAACCUAAUACGUUGGUGUCUUGACGUUACCGACAGAAUAAGCACCGGCUAACUCUGUGCCAGCAGCCGCGGUAAUACAGAGGGUGCAAGCGUUAAUCGGAAUUACUGGGCGUAAAGCGCGCGUAGGUGGUUUGUUAAGUUGAAUGUGAAAUCCCCGGGCUCAACCUGGGAACUGCAUCCAAAACUGGCAAGCUAGAGUAUGGUAGAGGGUAGUGGAAUUUCCUGUGUAGCGGUGAAAUGCGUAGAUAUAGGAAGGAACACCAGUGGCGAAGGCGACUACCUGGACUGAUACUGACACUGAGGUGCGAAAGCGUGGGGAGUU